rnacentral:lncRNA from 1 species
GCGUACUUAGACAAUUUUGUAUACUUCUUCUCAUAUUCAACAACAGUCAUUGAACUCUGAGUGAGCUUCAAGAACUCACUUCGUUUUUCAUCAUGGAAAGAGUGCAGAUAAAACUAUCAAAGAAUGCCCCUUUAAACUCAUCCCAACUUAUAUCAACAUCAAAGUUAAAAAUCUCAUAAUUAAUUUUUCAUUCUCUUUUUCUCAAAGCUUCCUCCCAUAGCCAUGGAAUCUUCCUAGACUAUUUUCCUAAUUCGAGCAAACAAAAAUCAACCAAAUGCUUCACUAAAGAACUUCAUCAAACACAUUGUAAGUGACCAAAUUACUUCAUCACACAGCCAACCAUGGAGAAAAAAUAUAGAUUCACAUUGGGAAGAUGACCCUAGACAAAAAAAAAAAAAAAAAACAAUCUUCUUCAACAUAGCAAAAUGCUUUCUUCAUAGCAUGCCAAAAAUUAUUUAUGAGUUCCCUUUUGAAAAAUUGAAGAAAAUAGAAAAGAGAAAUUAAAUGCAUAUAGAAAAUUGAUAUUACCUAUUAGAUUUCGUUUCGGCCACAAAAGCAUAACCAACGUCGACGACCAAGGGAGUCUUGGAGCACACUGUAGUGACGUCAAACACCGACAUGUGAAAGGUCCAAUUCGCACAGCAAGCCAUCUCUCUUCUCCCUGAUCGUCUCGAC